rnacentral:rRNA from 1 species
CACGGGGGGAGCAAGCGUUGUUCGGAAUCACUGGGCGUAAAGGGCGUGUAGGCGGUCAAGUAAGUGGGAUGUGAGAUGCCCCGGCUCACCCGGGGACCUGCAUCCCAAACUGCUUGGCUCGAGUAUGGGAGAGGAUGAGGGAAUUCCUGGUGUAGCGGUGAAAUGCGUAGAUAUCAGGAGGAACACCGGUGGCGAAAGCGCUCAUCUGGCCCAAUACUGACGCUGAGGCGCGAAAGCUAGGGGAGCAAACGGG